AUCGCUUCUCGGCCUUUUGGCUAAGAUCAAGUGUAGAUAUAGAUAUAGAUAUAGAUAUACACACACACAUACAUAUAUACAUAAAAUUUUCCCGCAGACUUGAAAAUCAGGCAGGGUUUCUAUGUUGCAAUUUUGAGGAGAAUUCCUUCUACUUUGGGGAUCCUCCAUUUUUGCUCUUAAGGAUAUCAACU
rnacentral:snRNA from 1 species